rnacentral:rRNA from 1 species
GACGAACGCUGGCGGCGUGCUUAACACAUGCAAGUCGAACGGAAAGCCCCUGCUUUUGUGGGGUGCUCGAGUGGCGAACGGGUGAGUAACACGUGAGUAACCUGCCCUUGACUUUGGGAUAACUUCAGGAAACUGGGGCUAAUACCGGAUAGGAGCUCCUGCUGCAUGGUGGGGGUUGGAAAGUUUCGGCGGUUGGGGAUGGACUCGCGGCUUAUCAGCUUGUUGGUGGGGUAGUGGCUUACCAAGGCUUUGACGGGUAGCCGGCCUGAGAGGGUGACCGGCCACAUUGGGACUGAGAUACGGCCCAGACUCCUACGGGAGGCAGCAGUGGGGAAUAUUGCACAAUGGGCGGAAGCCUGAUGCGGCAACGCCGCGUGCGGGAUGACGGCCUUCGGGUUGUAAACCGCUUUCGCCUGUGACGAAGCGUGAGUGACGGUAAUGGGUAAAGAAGCACCGGCUAACUACGUG